rnacentral:rRNA from 1 species
CCUACGGGAGACAGCAGUGGGGAAUAUUGCACAAUGGGGGAAACCCUGAUGCAGCGACGCCGCGUGAGGGAAGAAGUAUCUCGGUACGUAAAGCUCUAUCAGCAGGGAAGAAAAUGACGGUACCUGACUAAGAAGCCCCGGCUAACUACGUGCCAGCAGCCGCGGUAAUACGUAGGGGGCAAGCGUUAUCCGGAUUUACUGGGAGGAAAGGGAGCGUAGCCGGGAGUGCAAGUCGGGAGUGAAAGGCGGGGGAUCAACCCCGGGACUGCUUUGGAAACGGUAAGGCUGGAGUGCAGGAGAGGUAAGUGGAAUUCCUAGUGUAGCGGUGAAAUGCGUAGAUAUCAGGAGGAACACCAGUGGCGAAGGCGGCUUACUGGACUGUAACUGACGUUGAGGCUCGAAAGCGUGGGGAGCAAACAGGAUUAGAUACCCGUGUAGUC